rnacentral:rRNA from 1 species
UGGGGAAUAUUGGACAAUGGGCGAAAGCCUGAUCCAGCCAUGCCGCGUGUGUGAAGAAGGUCUUCGGAUUGUAAAGCACUUUAAGUUGGGAGGAAGGGUUGUAGAUUAAUACUCUGCAAUUUUGACGUUACCGACAGAAUAAGCACCGGCUAACUCUGUGCCAGCAGCCGCGGUAAUACAGAGGGUGCAAGCGUUAAUCGGAAUUACUGGGCGUAAAGCGCGCGUAGGUGGUUAGUUAAGUUGGAUGUGAAAUCCCCGGGCUCAACCUGGGAACUGCAUUCAAAACUGACUGACUAGAGUAUGGUAGAGGGUGGUGGAAUUUCCUGUGUAGCGGUGAAAUGCGUAGAUAUAGGAAGGAACACCAGUGGCGAAGGCGACCACCUGGACUGAUACUGACACUGAGGUGCGAAAGCGUGGGGAGCAAAACAGGAUUAGAUACCCUGGUAGUCCACGCCGUAAACGAUGUCAACUAGCCGUUGGGAGCCUUGAGCUCUUAGUGGCGCAGCUAACGCAUUAAGUUGACCGCCUGGGGAGUACGGCCGCAAGGUUAAAAAC